AUUGAACGCUGGCGGCAGGCCUAACACAUGCAAGUCGAGCGAGCGGCGGACGGGUGAGUAAUGUAUGGGGACUGCCUGAUAGAGGGGGAUAACUACUGGAAACGGUAGCUAAUACCGCAUACGAUCGGAUAACCCAUAUGGGAUUAGCUAGUAGGUGAGGUAAUGGCUCACCUAGGCGACGAUCCCUCUCUGGUCUGAGAGGAUGAUCAGCCACACUGGGACUGAGACACGGCCCAGACUCCUACGGAGGCAGCAGUGGGGAAUUUUGGACAAUGGGGGAAACCCUGAUCCAGCCAUGCCGCGUGUAUGAAGAAGGCCGUAGGGUUGUAAAGUACUUUCAUUCGGGAGGCGUUACCGACAGAAGAAGCACCGGCUAACUCCGUGCCAGCAGCCGCGGUAAUUC
rnacentral:rRNA from 1 species